GGCUCCACAGUGUAGUGAUUAGCAGGUCUGCUUUACAUGCAGAAGGUCCUGGGUUCGCACACCAGUGGAGCCA
rnacentral:tRNA from 1 species